rnacentral:lncRNA from 1 species
CGGGCUGUCUCCUGUAAUUUUAGCGCACACUGAUGCAGAGGAAAGGUUUAAUGGGCAUUGGUCGGCCUACCUUCUUCUGAGGGCGUAAAGGAGACAGAGCAGAGCGAGCAGAGAGGGAGGGGAGCAGAGGGAGAGGACAGUGUAGAGAGAGAGAGAGAGAGAGAGAGAGAGAGAGAGAGAGAGAGAGAGAGAGAGAGAGAGAGAGAGAGAGAGAAAGGCAGCGUGUCAGGGCUGCUGUAGCUCAGAAAUAAAGUCAGGCAACUAUCUGGAUCACUAUGACUCUUUUAACACUUGGACUGUAUCUGCCACUGUGGUUUUGUUAUGGCCUGGCUCAGUCCUCUUUUCUGGACACCUUUAUUCCAUUCCCUGCAGCUCUCAGAACCGAGGAGCAGCAGAGGAGAUUCAGCCCAUGCUGUUUACUGAGUCCGCCUCCACCCCCACUGUUUCCUCCACCCCCUGCACUUUGGCGCCGCGACACUCAUAAUGAAGACAUUCGUGGUGGUGAGUCAGAGCCGGGCAAUGAGGCCUGCGUCCGAGGCCCCCGCGGACCUGCUGGUCCCUCUGGCCCUCAGGGUCCACCUGGAUUACCUGCAAUAGAAGGGUCCAAGGGAGAAAAGGGAGAAAUCGGAAGACCUGGGCAAAAGGUGAGAGUCUCCAUUAAUCACU